rnacentral:rRNA from 1 species
AUUGAACGCUGGCGGCAGGCCUAACACAUGCAAGUCGAACGAGUGGCGGACGGGUGAGUAAUGACUGGGAAACUGCAUGAUGGAGGGGGAUAACUACUGGAAAAGGUAGAUAAUACCGCAUACCAUCGGAUGUGCCCAGAUGGGCUUAGCUAGUAGGUGGGGUAACGGCUCACCUAGGCGACGAAUCCUAGCUGGUCUGAGAGGAUGACCAGCCACACUGGAACUGAGACACGGUCCAGACUCCUACGGGAGGCAGCAGUGGGGAAUAUUGCACAAUGGGCGCAAGCCUGAUGCAGCCAGGCCGCUUGUAUGAAGAAGGCCUUCGGGUUGUAAAGUACUUUCAGCGGGGAGGCGUUACCCGCAGAAGAAGCACCGGCUAACUCCGUGCCAGCAGCCGCGGUAAUUC